AUGAAGGACCACCCGUAGUAGACGUGCACAGGGACAUCAUCCAGGCACCUCUCACUCCUCUCCAGGAGGAUGUACUUCUGAAAGUCAGCUGCAAACUCCUUCCACAUCACAAAGAGAAACACGAGCAGGAGAAACAAACCUCCUGGGAAGAGAGAGGAAGCUGAGUUAUGGUCUGGGCAGGGAGUACAGGAGUGAAGGUUCCUGUGGAAGCUGAGGCCACACCACAGUGACCAGUUCCUGCCUCUGACACCUCCUGCUUUGACCACCAGCACUUUCUGAAGGCUCUGUUUCAGCAGGAUAAGGCCAUGGAGAAACCACCCGAGCAGGGAUGAUGUUCCCAGCAAGGACCUGCCUUCCUCUCUCCAAGGUGGGAUGUUUCACCUUUUUCACUUUUAUUUCUCAGAGAUUAAUGAGGAGACACCAAAACUCACUUCUUCCUUUUUUUAUCUACCCUUGCAAGCAGUGUCAUAGCCAAUCCCCUCCAGGAACACAAAGAUGCCAUGAUAAAUCCUGGGGCUGGUGGAAAAAUUCUGGCACUGCCACCCCCAGAGCCAGCAGAGCCUGCAGGCUCUGAAAGUGUUUAUGCACAUUAUGGGGUGGGAAGGGCACACAGCCACGAGAUGUUAAUCUUAGAUGGGCUACUAAAUACCAGAAUAAUAACAAGAAUUAUUCCAGCAGCUUAUGCCACAAAGCUGGAAGCAGAUGAAAAAAAUUAGAGUGGCCCAAAUCUCAUUAACUCUGAAUCUUUAAAAAAAUAUAUAUAUUUCUAUGGUGCAUUUUAAACUCAACAUCUAUUAAAGCUAAAUAGUGACGGUGUGAUGACAGGUCUGAAAGCAGCUCAGAAAUAUCUGAUCUUGCUACUUCACAGGUAGAAGCUGCUAUUUUUAAAUGGUGCUGUAUAACAUAUAGAUAUACACACACACAUAUGAAAGAAAUACAUCACAGCUUAUAUUAUUUUUAUGGUUGAAGUGAACUGCUCGAAAUUAAUUUAGUUGACAAGUUACCACACAGUUCUGUGGAUGUGUUGUGGCUUCUGCAAGAUUUAAUUUCUCCCCUUGCCAUUUUUAAAUCAAAGGUAGUUGUGGUGUAUUUAAUUAUUCUUCCUGGCAGCUUAUAUACUCCAAAAUCCAGCUUUUGAGCUAAGGAAAGGAGUAAAGAUUGACGUUGAUUUAUCUGCUUAGGGAGGUUACUGAAUCUUCAGUCAGAGAAAACACAUCCGUGUUUUACUGCGAUUCUGUUUAUAAUGGUUAUAAAAACAUCUCAGAGACAAAAAUAAGACUCACAUGAAGGUAAGAGGCUUCAAAGUCCUCACUAGGAGGGAGACAGAAGUUGCAGUUCCCCACCCUAAGCUGUCACAUUUCCUGAACUGCCUCCCAUGCCCUAAAAAGAUGCAAUCUUGCCAAUCAAAAAUUGGUGUAGCCAUACAAAUGUUCUUUACAUCACCCCACACUGAAAUUCCAGCCAUUCUCCCUGAUGUGGAGGAGUCCCUGUUUUUCCUGGAGAGGCAGGCAAGGAGUUAAACAGCAGCUGCUGGAACAUUUGCAUGUUCAUUGAGGUUUUGAUACCACUUGAAAUUAAGUGCACAAAUAAAUAUUUUACACUUACUAUGAUAGUUGUAUGCUUAAAAUACCAAUUAUUCUACUAUAAGAAAGCGAUGGUGUGUUCAAAUAGUCGCAUGUCCUUUACAAAAUACAAUGUAUUGAUAAGAAGGCAAUUAAGUCUUUAUUACUGAUGUAAUUUAAAAUUAAAUUAAUUAGAUAGCAACUGAACCUUGAAAAGUGCUCCUUUAAAGAUCAAUUUCUAUUUCAUUAACUUAUAAUACCUACCGUAAGAGACGCAAAUGAAAGCGCAGCCCCGGUGGGACGGAGAACGUGGGUAUGGAAAUGUACUUUGGAAUUUUGCUUUAAAUAACCAGGAAUUCUGUGCUGAUUUCUCCCAGGACAAUUUAUAUGGCCUAAGUCUCGUUUUUUGAAGUAAUCAGAUCAAAACCUUCCAGUUCUUACUGAGGAGGGUGUGGGAAGUCCCACGUGUGGGUGGCACCAUCCCCAACCCCUUCAGGAGACAAGGAAUGGGGAUUGGUCCCUCCUCUGGCCUCAGGAGAAGCUCCAGGUCUUGGCACGGAAGGAUUUAUUAUUAAACAGGUACUGGAGGUGAUGGCAUGGCCAUGGCAUCUAAAUUAAGAAUGUUUUCACACUCUGGGCAAAUGACAAGAAUAUGUAAAGCAAGCAGCCUUCUUCCCUGGAAUAAUUACAGCGGAGUGAUGAAGAAUCCCUGGGAUUUACACAAUGUCCUCGGUGGGAAGAGAAAAUCAGGAGGGCAGGUGCAGCCAAAGGAUGGUGGGAGCUCAGGAAGGGCAGCUCACCAAAAUCUGCUCAGCCAGAAAUGCAUGUUUGGAGCAAUCACAAAUGUACCUGAACCUGCCUAAAAUUUGUCACACUUACAGCCAUCAGCAGCCUCUUCAUCAUGAGAAAAUCAGGAUGUUUCACUCCUACAUUACUAAAGUGUUUGGCAUUUUUGUUUAAAAAUGCUGUUGUAUUUGGGAUUUUUCAUCUGUUGAACAGGUUUCACUUUGCUCCCUCCUUUCUGGGGCUUUUAGUGUGGGACAGAGCAGAAAUUAUCUUUGUUUCCUGACAGCUUUGGAUGUAGAGAGACAGAUUCCUUCCUGCUUUGGGCAGCGAAAUGAAAAACUGAAAAAAUCUAAUUUUCUGUCUGAAAUAGGACACUGGCAUUGGCACCCACACCCAAGACAGAGGGUGUGUAUUGGGUUUGGGUAAGUGAAGACCUCAUCAAACCUCAUCCCAUGCUCCUCUCAGCAUCCCUGUGCUUUCUCCACUGGAAAAUUACCCGAGUGAUUCCUUUCCUUGCCUUCUUGUCCCUCUUUGCCUCUGUUCAUUAGGAUGGUACUGGGAAAAAUUAACUGCGAAACUCCAUCUCCAGACUGAUGAGGUCAAUGGCAUCUUCUAGGGAGGGGCUAAUUGCCAGAAAAUUGCAGUGGGGUAUUAAAUCUGCCUCCUUUGUGCACUGCAGAUCUGGGAGCCUGGAGCUCCAUCCCCCUCUCCCAACGGAGCUGCGUCUUCUGUGCGGGCAAAUUGAAGUGGAGCUUUUCCUUUCUCUCACUUUAUUUCCUUGUGACACCUUUAUAGCUGCUAAUUGUGGGGACAGGAUGUUAAUAACAGCGAAAUGGAGGGGUGACCUUCAGCUGCCCCUCCAUAACUGUCAGCUUCACUGCACGUGGGGAGCCUGAGACUGCCAAAGUGGAGCUGCUCCAUUUGGGAAACAGGAUCUGAGCAAAAAAUCCAGCACUUUAACUCACAGGACUGGGAAAUCUGCCUUUUUUCCCAUGCUGUUGGUUCAUGCUGAAGAACAGGUUGGUCCCACCAUGGGCAGGGAUGUGUCCCAUCAUCCCAGGUGGCUCCAAGCUCCAUCCAGCCUGGCCUGGAACACUUCCAGGGAUGGGGCAUUCACAGCCUCUUUGGGCAACCUGUGCUGCAGUUCUAUGUUUGGUCUCUAAAAUGCCCAAAGGGAAAGAAAACCGAGGGGCACAAGGUAGGAAAAAAGGAAGGACCACAAGCAAAAUUGUCUCAGCAACUCAAAGAGCUUCCAGAAGCUGCAGCACAGAGCUCACCCAGCCCUCUUGGUGACAUUCUAGUGACAAU